rnacentral:lncRNA from 10 species
CUCUCGGUGUGUGUUUUUUCUGCUCUCACUCUGGGAUUCCUAGGGUGACUGUGAUAGUAGGAUAGACCAAGGAGGUACCAGGGGAGGAGGACUCAGCAGCUGAGAUAGCUGCGAAUGGGCUGACUGCCACCAGGAGAGCACAGGUUCCUUGCCAAGGUGAGGAGGCGUGGCUUCCGCUGAUGGCAGAAGGACUUAAAUUAAUUUACAGCUUCCUAUUUUCAUUCUGAGAAGUUUUUCCCUUGUAAUUACCAACAAAUGGUUUGCGCUAACGCACAUUCCUAAAAAUGUAGCAUAAAAAAUGAGGAAGCUGUCAGGUAAUGACCUGGGCUGGCUGUUUAAAGGCACACUCACGAUUAUCAGACUUACCGUGGAACUGGAUGAGGCCUCAGAGACAAGGCCGUCCAACCCGUCAUUUCACAGAUGAGAAAACAGAGGCCCGGGGAGAUCAGGUGGCUCGCAAGGAGAUUAGACCCCUGACCCUGCCCCCGUCAUUCUCUUGUCUUCUCAUCCUCCAUCGCCAGAUGCUCCUAGAGAAAGAAACAGUCUCAGAAACUACUCCCAUCUUGCGAAUAGUAAGCAGUGGAGCCAGGAUUUGAACCUGAGACCAUGCACUGGGGGCUCUUGCCCCCACAAACAAACCUGGAAAAACUUCCAGAAGCAUCCUGAAGUGGCCCCCCCCAGUGCCAUUUACUGUGGAACUCAGGCCUCAGGGCCAGAGCAGGCUCCCACUGGACUCCUCUCCCCACAUUGUGGCCUCUCCCUGUAACCAGGUCUGCCUCCCCCACAACAGGGAAGCUCUUGAAGCCAUGGAUUAGCACCAUGCUCCUUAAAGACCAUACUCAAGUGUCUCAAGUCUUUGAUGAGAAAGUAGAAUUACAGGAUUAUACUCUCAAUCAAUAUUUGUUAAUACCACCUUGCAGCUGGGCAUGGUGGCUCAUGCCUGUAAUUCCAGUACUUUGGGAGGCCAAGGUGGGAGGAUCGCUAGAGCCCAGGAGUUAGAGGCUGCAGUGAGCCGAAAUCCCGCCACUGCACUCCAGCUGGGGCAGGAGAGCAAGACCCAGUCUCCAUAAAAUAAAAUGGGUUGGGAGCAGUGGCUCAUCCAGCACUUUGAGAGGCCAAGGCUGGUGGAUCACUUGAGGUCAAGAGUUGAAGACCAUCCUGGCCAACAUGGUGAAACCCUGUCCCUACCAAAAUAUAUAUAUACAUACACACACAAAAAAAUUAGCCGGGUGUGGUGGCAUGUGCCUGUAAUCCCAGCUACUCGGGAGGCUAAGCCAAGAGAAUCGCUUGAACCAGGAGGCAGAGGUUGCAGUAAGCCGAGAUUGUGCCACCACACUCCAGCCUGGGCUGCAGAGUGAGAUCCUGUCUCAAAGAUAAAUAAAUAAAUAAAUACUACCUUGGAGUUUCCUAUAAAAAU